AAAAAUGCAUAUUAUUUCGUAUAAAAGAAAAAUAGCGGGAGGGAAAGGAUAAAAAUAAGGUGGAGUGACCAACACUUUCUUCAAUUCACAUUUUAUAAAUUUAUUAUAAAGCAAAGUCCAAAUCAAUGAUCAUCUCUGGGUUCUGACGGAUUCAUAUCUAUAAUAUUUACAAUUGGAUUAUGAUAACUAAAAUACGAUAUGAAAUGUCUUACAUCUAUUUUAUCUAUAUUUCUCGCAAAUACCGCAUCAAUAGUCGUACCUCCUUUUGUCGUCGGAUCAUUUCUUCCAUUGAUCAUUUCUAAUGAAAAUUUCUCUCUGAGGAAUGCCAGCAAUGGUUCAGCUU